CCUUCUCAGUCCAUCUGAAGAGUGAAGACGCUGUAUCCAAUGACCUCUGAUAGUCCAUGCCAAACUAUAGAUCUUCUUGUAAGUGCGGGCAUGUAUGCAUGUGUGUGUGAUGUUGUUGUUCCUUUUCGCUUAGAGCACCAUCAGGGAUAAAUGCCUUUAUAUCCUGUGAUGCAGUGGGCUGAGUACCUGUCACCAGACUUGGGGAGGCAACAGAGGCAGGCAUUCAUUUCAACUACUGCCUCCUGCCUGCGAUGCCCGAUAGCAUAACUAGAAUGACUCAGUACUUCUGGCUUUAAAGACAGACUUUUGUGGCCAGAGAAGACAUUUACAGUUCAGGGCUGGACUCACAGAAACUUACUGACGUGACUUCCCAAUGCAACAUCUGUUCUGUCCUCCUGCAACUCAGCUUACUUCCUGGAUUUCAGCAGCCCCCCCCCCCGCAAAUAUUCAUGAGCAGACCCCUGUGGCUGGAUACCCUCAGGAGGGGCCCUGUGUGAUCUCGGCUCCAAUUCUCCUCCUCCGCACGAGCUGCGGUCCAGCACGUCCGCCUCAGACCUGGACCUCGCCCUGCUGCUGGCCAAAACCCACUUCAAUGAUUAGCAAAGGUGCCAGGGAAAUUAUGAAAAACAUGUGACAGGUAAAUGGCUGUGCCUGCAACUUUCUUAAGUUUCAAAGGGAAGACGGCUUCACUCUAGUGUGUGGGCUGGGAAUUCAGGCUUUUUAAGAGCUUUCCAGAAUGCAUGGGCAGAGCAGACCCUUGUAGGAUUCUGCUUUUCCUCUCAGUGGAAUCCAACUGGGCUCUGAGCCCCAGGGGACUGAGACCAAUCAUGGAAUAGGCUCUAUCCAAACACUAUGGCUUUGUUCUCCUACAUGAAGAAUGAAAAAGCAAACAGGUCCUGAGCAGAAAGGGAGCAAAGUAAAAAGGUCAGAGGGUUCUGCAGCUGGAAAACACCUUAGGUCUCUAAAUUCAAUCUUUCCCCUUUCCAGACUGGG